UAGUCCAAAUUUGAAGCCUGUACCUUCAUAAAUGUGAAAGUAGGUCACUAGGUCAAUAACAAGGUCAAAGUUUUUUUUCGGUACACAAACCUAUGCAUGUGGUCCAAAUUUGAAGGCUGUAGCUACAGAAAUGUGAAAGUAGGUCACUAGGUCAAGAUCAAGGUCAACUCAUGUCAAGGUUCAUCUUGCCAUUCAAAACUAUACAUGUGGUCCAAAUUUGAAUGAUGUAAGUUAUGGACAUGAAGAUUUCCCUAUAUAAAUCUAUAUGAACCAUAUGACCCCUGGGACGGGGUCAUAUUUGACCCUAGAGGGAUAAUUUGAACAAACUUGUUAGAGAACCACUAAAUGAUGCUACAUUACAAAAUAUCAAAGCCAUAGUCUUUGUGGUUUGGACAAGAAGAUUUUCAAAGUUUUUCCCUAUAUAAGUCUAUAUAAACCAUGUGACCCCCGGGGUGGGGGCAUAUUUGACCCCAGGGAAAUAAUCUGAACAAUCUUAGUAGAGGACCACUAGAUUUUGCAACAUACCAAAUAUCAAAGCCCUAGGCCCUAUGGUUUUGGACAAGUAGAUCAGAAACCGUUUCAUUCUUCCUGGCCAAUGUGACCUUGACCUUUGACCUAAUGACCUCAAAAUCAAUAGGGAUCAUCAGCUGGUCAUGGCCAACCUAACUAUCAAUUUUCCUGACACUAGACCCAAGCGUUCUUGAGUUAUUGCCUGGAAACCAUUUUACUGUUCCUGGUCACUGUGACCUUGACCUUUGACCUACUGACCUCAAAAUCAAUAGGGGUCAUCUGCUGGUCAUGACCAACCUCCCUAUCAAUUUUCGUGACCCUAGGCCUAAGUGUUCUUGAGUUAUCAUCCCGAAACCGUUUUACUAUUCAGGGUCACUGUGACCUUGACCUUUAACAUACUGACCUCAAAAUCAAUAGGGGUCAUCUGCUGGUCAUUACCAACCUUCCUAUCACCUUUUAUGAUCCUAGGCCCAAGUGUUCUUGAGUUAUCAUCCCGAAACCGUUUUACUAUUCAGGGUCACUGUGACCUUGACCUUUAACAUACUGACCUCAAAAUCAAUAGGGGUCAUCUACUGGUGAUGACCAACCUCCCUAUCAACUUUCAUGAUCCUAGGCCCAAGCGUUGUUGAGUUAUCAUCCGGAAACGGAUUGGUCUACAUUCCGACCGACCGACCGACCUACCGACCGACCGACAGACAUCUGCAAAACAAUAUACCCCUCCUAGUCCAGUAAAGCUAGAGAAAGGUUGGAACUAAUUGCAAAAGUUUGGUUUUUGAUGCUGCAUGAAAGUACAUACUUAUAGCUAUUUCCAGAAAAAAAUCGCCGUCCGUAGGUGCUAAGGGAUUUUCUCUACGGGCCGUUAAACUUUACGUAAAAAUUUUCAUUGUUACAUAGAAUUCGGAAUUUUUAACGGCGCUAACUGUACACCUUAGUGACGUCAUUGGGUACAUGUCAACAAGUUACAGCCGCCAUUUUUUUAAAACUCGAUGCAACUUUUGGUUUGAAUUGCCAUUUUCCAAAAGAAUUAUCGAGAUGUGAACAAAGUUCAGACUCUAGUUUCAUGGUAUGUGCCUACAGGAUGGAUUGGUGGUUGGAAACAAGUACAUUCAUGUUGCUGAAGAUCUUUUCAAGUUUGAUUACAAUGUAGACCUAUGGUGUGUGAAUGAAUUCCAGUUCACUGACAGUGUUUGUUUGGACCCUGCUAUUUAUAUCAUCUGGAUUUGUUCAGUUGUUCUAUGUUGAUC